rnacentral:rRNA from 1 species
CAGUAGCCGCGGUAAUACGAAGGGGGCUAGCGUUGUUCGGAUUUACUGGGCGUAAAGAGCAUUAAGGCGGUUUCUUAAGUGAGAGGUGAAAGGUUCAGGGCUUAACCCGAACACUGCCUUUCAUACUGGGAGACUUGAGUACGGGAGAGGCGAGUGGAAUUUCUGGUGUAGCGGUGAAAUGCGUAGAUAUCAGAAGGAACACCCAUGGCGAAGGCAGCUCGCUGGUCUGUAACUGACGCUGUAGUGCGAAAGCGUGGGGAGCAAACAGGAUUAGAUACCCGCGUAGUCCCUGUCUCUUAUA